UUCAUUAUAGACCUGCAUUAGAGUGAUC
rnacentral:piRNA from 1 species